CGUCGUUGUCCCCUUCCGCGUGGGCCGACCUGGACGGAAGGCUGUCGAUCCAUCCUCGACUGCGAGGCGACGGCUCGACUUCCUCCGAUCUGGUGGUAGGACGAAAUCCCUUUCUCUCUUGCUUCUAUGCUUGAUUUGGUUCUGUUUUUGUGCUGAUCUGAUUUACUUUCAUGGGCGUUUUGAGUUACUUGCAUGUACGCAAUCUUUCCCACUCUUUAGAUAACUCAUGAUCCAACCCUUGUACUCACGGUUCAGUAUAAAAUAGUACAGGAAAUAUUCUAUAUUUUACGGUCACAGUGUACAUGGUGAAAAGUAUUCUAUAUGUUUUUUUCUAUUGAUACAACAAUGAUGUAUAUGAUUAUUAUAUGGUGUCCAAAUGAGGCAUGUGAUUGUAAUAUGAUGUGUUUGUGAAAUGCGAGCAGUAGCCAGUACAUAUUUUCCUCUUGUGAUUUUGAUAGCUCGGUGAUGGCGGGCGAAGCCACCAAGCAUCGACACACAUCCUAACCAAUUCGGUUUGGUGUCAUCUUGGAUCUGACUAAUUUUCUUCUUUUUUCGCAUGAAGUUCUAAUGGAUUAAUAUUCUUGUAGGUUGAUUUGAAUCCCCAGGUAUGUGGUUAUGCAUGAGCUGUGGAAGCAAAGGUGUGUGUCGGCUGGAGCUGAUUUAUGGGGCUGUAAUUUGGAUGGUACAAAACUGUAUUAAUACAGGCUCCCACUCAAAAUUUCACUGCACCAAAGGUUCUCGUAAGUGCUUGACUUUGUUUCUUCAUACUAUGCGGUAUAAUACCUAUGGGACAUGAAAUUAGUAAUUACCCUUAAAUAUUGUCUGUACUGGAUAGCCAAAAUUAGGUUUAUUUGUUUCUCUCUCCUGAGCACAUUUUUAUAACAUUGCUACUCAAAUAUAACUUGUGUUUCCCUGUCCUGCAUUUUUGCAUCGUCCUCCAUACAAAAACAUGAUGGGAUUUGGUCCAGGUGAGAACAUACAGGACCGUAACGAUCAGCCUGUUUUAAUUUACUGAAACUGGGUAGACGCUAGACAGGGACGUGAUUAUCCUUGGUAUAGCUCCAAAGAAUUUUAAUGUGCCAAUUAAAUGUGAUGCUUGGUGGUAGAUUGGAAGCUUGCUACAUGUUUUUCUCAAUGGGCAUACCUGUUGUUAUCUUGCCAAAGCCCAAGUUUAUACAAUUAUGCUUCUGUAACUACAAUGUCAGUACAUUAUGCUAGGUAUGUGCCUCUUUAGUUGUCUCUUUCUGGUUUGGUCUGUGUUUUCUGUUUAGUUAUGGGGUGCCUAAUUCUUUAGUAAUACUGCACUGUUCUGCAAAAUUAUGGUCUAACUUUACUGGGCAGAAUUAUGGCCUAACUUUACUGUACUCUUGCAAUUUUUCUCCUGCAUGAUCUACCAAAUGGUGUUAAAAUUUACUGGGCAGAAUUAUAGACUGAUUUAUGAAGGACACAAAACACCAUACAUGAUUUAGCUGCAGCUCAUGAAGUGCUGAUCAUGUUGCUUCACGAAAGGUUCACAUUAUAAUUUGCAAUCUGAAUCGGUUUUCACAAACAUAAAAUGUUAAUACCCUUUUCUAUGAGCUUUUUACCAUGUGAAGCUUGUCUGUUUAAUAUGUCCCAUAAUCCUGAGAAGAAUCAUGACCAUUGAUGAAAUCCAGCUCUCUCUUUUUUUGGAAAAAAUGCUAGGAAAAAAAGGUUCAUAGUGAUUUUUCCUUUCCUGCGAGAGCUGACAUAGUUUAAAAAGAGUGCACUUCCGGCCAUGCUGAAUUGUAGGAUAAAAUGACCAUGGAGUUAGUCAUGGUCAAGUUGACUGAAGCAUGUGUAUCCAAACUGAUACAUGUACUGCAUUAUGUCUUUUGUACGGAGAUAUGGACAUGCUUUGUGCUUGUAUUUGUAGUUUAGUGAGUUUACUCCUUCUCGGACAAACUUAAAAUUCCAAAUGUUUACUGGGAAUGUGUUUUGAUCCUAGAGUGGAGAUGCAGAAAGCAAGUGUGAAAAAGGCACCAAAGUUUGUCAGCACUAGCUCUAUGCAUGCCUUUGUGAAACUGAAUGGCAUUUUGCCACACCUUGUCACACCUUUCUGAGUAGCUGAGAACUAAUAAAAAAAGUUUAAUUAUUUUCAUCGUGCUAUUCGUUGAUUUUGGUGUGCCCUUGAUACUCCUAUGCAUGGCGCAUUUGAUCUAUUAAGUGAACUUUUUCUUCCAAUCCAGCACCAUUAUGUUGUAAUGAUCAAGCUUUCCGUCGACUACAAAAGUUCCAACAAAAUAUUAUGUUGUUUAUUUCUCUCCUAAAUCACUAUUUGUUAUAAAAAUAGUGAAAGAAAUAAACAACAUAAUCUUCAGUAUGUUUAAAGUAGGAUAUCUGGUAUUGUGGUUUUAAAAUUUGUUGGAUAUAAACUGGCAACAAUAUCAUGUGAACUUGGAUUUAUAUAUGUCUUAGUAUUAAUUUGAUGUCAACUAACAGUAGCACAUCUCUAACAAUGAUACUCGAAGAAUUGUUGUGUGUUUGUAGGAAACACUAUAUAAUGAGCAUAUAACUUUCUAGAUGAUUCGCUGACGCAUUGUUGAUUUUAAGGCGCGGAAAUUACUGGCAUUUGUUAUGAGCGAUCUUAAAUAUGUUUGCUUCUCUCUCGGGUAGAAAACUUUGUUCCUUGCAACGUGUUGAUGUCUACCUCUAUGCCAUUCCAAAGUGAGGAUUUGUAUAUGUCUAUAACGACAUCCAUACAUCUUUAGCUAUAGUAUCGCUGAGGUGUCUAUCAGCAGAUGAUUAUGAGAAUCACUAGAAGGUUAACCGGGUUUGAAGAAGAUAGUGACGCAUAAUGGGGGAGUACAAAAAAGGAGGAAGAAUACAUUUUUGUCUCUUGCAAAGUGGUCACAGAAAAGGAGUUCCACUACAGUAAGUGAUUUCAGGGGUACGAUAUGGUCGUAGUUGGCAGAGUAGGAAGCAUGAGCGAAUAACAUCAUUUUUCAAGUCGCAGUUCGCUGAAACAGCCAUGUAAUCAAUAGCGCUCUAUCCUUUUGCUAUUCUGUAGCCACCAGAGAUGAAGAAGAUGUUUGCUUGGUCUGUUUCGGCUGGGUGCCGGAGGCUAUUGGGACUGAGAUGAAACUAGCGAUCCCUGUUGCAGCUUGUAAUUUUUAGUAUCGUUGUUAAAUUUUGCCUUAUGCCUUGAUUGGUUUGGAGCUGGAGGUGAAUUUGAUCAUUGCCCCAAUAUCACUAAAUAUUUGUUGGCAGAGUUGACAUUCAUGUUAACGUGUUUCAUUUAAUGUCUCUUGUUUGUUGUUAGGUCAUAAUGGAGAAUCAUUUGUUGUAGCGAAGAGAGUGAAAAUAGAGUCGAGGAGCAGACGUGAAGGGUGAAAUUGAGGAAAUGAAUUAUUCUGUAGUGGUCGCUUUGGCUACUGUCAGAUUUGUUCGUCAAGAAGAUAUCCAAAAAACCCAGCCCAAUUUUACACCAUUUGAAAUUAAGCCUUCUCUGCCUGGGUUUCAUAGUUGUGCACUAUAAUUGCAUGGUGUUUCGGUCAGAAUUUGAUGCGAGCGAUAUAUGCGUCCAAGAUGUGGCAAGAAGCAUAUAGUAGUGCAAGAAUAUGUGUAGCCAUUAGGAACAACAGCUAUGAGUCCAUGACUAGCACCAACAAUGCUAGAGUAAGGGUGGACGAAGAGAAUGGUGGUGGGCCAAGAGGGAAGGGAGAAAUAUAUCACUUUCAUUGCAUGCAAGAAAAUGGUGCCUAAUGAAACACAAAGGCUUACUUGGAGCAAAGCAGCGAAUGAACAUGAAUGAAAAUCAUGUACUGCCAUCUUCUGCACACAUUUUUGAAUUAAAACAAAUAUAUAUAA
rnacentral:lncRNA from 1 species